rnacentral:lncRNA from 1 species
GACUCGGUGGUCUGGGCAGUGGUGGAAUCUGGGCCAUCGAAUUGUGUAUGAACGGUCCAGAUGCAGCGGACGGCAACCUCCUCCUGUUUUCUCUGAAAAAGCAGAGGCGGCGGUCGGUCUUUCCCCACGAACAGCCGUCUCCUGCCUUCGUUCGCGAUCGAGGGAAGUCUCCGCCGGAGUCAGGGACCUAGGGUUUGAGGAUCGUCGGAAGGGGCGCAGGGUGAGGAGCGCGAGGAGGGGAAGAUGAUCGAGGUGGUGCUGAACGACCGCCUGGGGAAGAAGGUGCGGGUCAAGUGCAACGAGGACGACACCAUCGGCGACCUCAAGAAGCUGGUGGCGGCGCAGACGGGGACGCGCCCCGAGAAGAUCCGCAUCCAGAAGUGGUACAACAUCUACAAGGACCACAUCACCCUCAAGGACUACGAGAUCCACGACGGCAUGGGCCUCGAGCUCUACUACAACUAGCUGCCCUGACUCCACAUGCCUUUGUUAUCAGGUACGAAUCCCUCCCGGAUUCGGAGCUGUUCCUCUUCGUUCCUGCGCGCGUGACUUGGUUUUCGUU